rnacentral:piRNA from 1 species
UUCAACUCUUGUUGCUUGCACACUGUCAA